GAUUUCAACUGAAAAAGUCAUCAACAAUAAAGUUGUAUAACUCAUCAAGAUCUAUAACUUUUAUUUUGAUCAUUUCUUCAUCUGACAAAGUGAUAGUAACAUUGUUCACAAAAUUUACAUUUCUCUCAUAUGGUUUUAUAAACUAUAAGAGAGAUAUGCAAAUUUUGUGAACAAUGUUACUAUCACUUUAUCGGAUGAAGAAAUUAUCAAAAUAAAACUUGUAUGUCUUGGUGAGUUCUACAACUUUUAUGUUUAUGACUUUUUCAGCUGAAAUU
rfam:Oryza punctata chromosome 6, whole genome shotgun sequence.